rnacentral:piRNA from 1 species
ACAUGUGGGGAACUGAAGGAUAG